CCUACGGGUGGCAGCAGUGGGGAAUAUUGCACAAUGGGGGAAACCCUGAUGCAGCGACGCCGCGUGAGUGAAGAAGUAUUUCGGUACGUAAAGCUCUAUCAGCAGGGAAGAAAAUGACGGUACCUGACUAAGAAGCCCCGGCUAACUACGUGCCAGCAGCCGCGGUAAUACGUAGGGGGCAAGCGUUAUCCGGAUUUACUGGGUGUAAAGGGAGCGUAGACGGUGGUGCAAGUCAGAAGUGAAAGCCCGGGGCUCAACUCCGGGACUGCUUUUGAAACUGUGUGACUGGAGUGCAGGAGAGGUAAGCGGAAUUCCUGGUGUAGCGGUGAAAUGCGUAGAUAUCAGGAGGAACACCAGUGGCGAAGGCGGCUUACUGGACUGUAACUGACGUUGAGGCUCGAAAGCGUGGGGAGCAAACAGGAUUAGAUACCCGAGUAGUC
rnacentral:rRNA from 1 species